GGAGCAGGCGGCACUAAGGGUCUGUGGUGAAAGAUCGAAGCUUAACUUCGUAAGCCAUGGAAACCGUAGAGCUAGAGUGUGUGAGAGGAUCGUGGAAUUCCAUGUGUAGCGGUGAAAUGCGUAGAUAUAUGGAGGAACACCAGUGGCGAAGGCGACGAUCUGGCGCAUAACUGACGCUCAGUCCGAAAGCGUGGGGAGCAAAUA
rnacentral:rRNA from 1 species